rnacentral:lncRNA from 1 species
UAGAAUGUAUUGUCACUGUACAGUAAACUGUUGAGUGCAUAAAGUUAAAAAUAUAUAAGAUUAUUGGUAGGGGGUUGUAGAAAUGGCUCAGCAGUUGAUAGCACUUAACUGCUCUUUCAGAGGAUCUGAGUUCAGGUCCUGGGACCUAUGUUGGGCAGCUCACAGCUGCCUGCCUGUAAAUCCAGCUCGAGGGAAUCUGAAACCUUGUGCCCUCCACAGACACCUGAACAUGGUAUACACUAAUACAAAUAUACACAUAUACAUGAAAACAAAUCUUAUUAUGUGUAAGGUAUAUGUGAAACAAAAUACAUUUUGUGUUAUGUUUUAGUCCUCAGACAUUUUAGGUACAUACAAAUAUUUUGAACAGAAAUACGAAAAAAUUAAAUUCUGGAGUAGUUUUCAUUGUAAGCAUUGUAGAUAAGGGACAUUCCUCCCUACAGUGUAUUAAUUUGCAUCCUGUGGGCUGCCCCUUUUGGUAUUUUGAUUGUUUUGUUUUUAUUUUGGGUUGCACAAACAUUUUCUAGUUUGCAGUUUAGUAGUCACCAAUUCUUUACCAAUCUUGUUUCAACUAUAGUUCCCUUUAAUUAUUUUAUUGUUUUAUAUUACUUUGUAGCAGGUAGCAUGUUAUCUAUAGUGUUAUAUUGAAGAUGAGAAUGUAGUAUUUCUUUGACAUUCUGAUUUUAUUUUCUCUGGGUGGUGUAUUAUUUCAUCUGUAGCUGGGACAUAAUGCUUUUAGUCUGCUACCAUGGUGUGAAAAGCCACUGACAGAUGGUGGAUUUUUUUUUAUUAGGUAUCUUAAAAUGAAGAUGUUCUAAUUCUGUCAUUUUAUUGGCAUAUAUUAUUGUACAAAAUAAUGGGUCUCAUUAUGAUCUUUUCAUUUCUGUGUACAAUUUACUGUGGUCAUAUCCAAUCCUAUUCAUUCCCUCUUCUCUCUGCCUGCCCAUCGCGGUGCUCCGUUUAUGUUUUAGCCAUUGUCAAAAAAAGAAAAAAAGAAAAAAAAGAGAAAUCUAGAUUUUUCAUUCACCAUUCCCUCUGUUGGCUGAAAUAGUUCAAAAUGGAGACAUUUGAUUUUAUAGAGGGUAUCAAAUUCCUAUGGUAGCAGAGGCUGCUGAUUCUCCUUUCCUUACCUCUUAAGUCCUAGGAUUACAGUCAUUCACCACUAUGUCAAGUAGUGAUGAAUUUCUUACUUACUUAUUUCUUACUUACUAUUGAGUUACUCAGUGUUUAUAAUGAGAGGCAGAAACAUUUUAUGUAAGAGAUGAAUCGCCAAUAUUUAGAAAGAUGGGUCGAUUGAUCUCGUUCUGAUGUGUUAGAAGGUUUUGUGUCAUGAUCAUAGGUAUUUAAAUACAUCUGGGGCAUUUCUAUAUACUUUUUAGGAGAUAAAACUUGUUCCUUAGGAAUCAACUGUUUUUAUGAUUGAAAAUUGAUAGUGUUUUUGUUUUAAAUUCUAGUUUACAUUUAUGCCGGAUUCUCAGUGAAAAUAAAAGCCAUGACAGUUCGACCUACAGAGAUUUUCAACAAGCUCUGUAUGAGUUGUCAUACCAUGUCAUUAAAGGGAAUUUAAAGCACGAACAGGCAUCUAGUGUUCUUAAUGACAUUAGCGAAUUCCGUGAGGAUAUGCCUUCUAUCCUUGCUGACGUGUUCUGCAUAUUAGAUAUUGAAACAAAUUGUUU